AGUUCAGCGACUCCACUUGCCUCUCCUCUCAUUUCUUUCGGAAAGCGGAAACCAGAUGACCCAGCAGCCACGGGCCCAGCCGCCCCAGCUCAACCCCAGCAGGACGCUGGAGGGGCCUCCCUCUCCCGCCUCCCUCCGCCGGCGCUGGCCUCCCGGACCCGGGUCUGCAGUCCCUCCGCCAACCCGCAGGAGGAGUUAAGGCGCCUUGAAUUUUCCUUCGCGAGCUUGGAGCCUAGCCGAUUUUUCAUGAAGGCAAAGACCACAGUCCCGGAUCCUGCAACAUCCACCUCAUUCUCUUCAGGUACAGUUUUCUGGUCAUUUAAUGAGUUUGUUUAUUCGGGGAGUCAGAGGCGUAGAGAUACUAAGUUUGCUGGAGAGGAAGCCGCCCCACAGUUUCGGGUCUAACGAAAUCCCUCCUUUAAAAACUAUUGUAUCAAGAAAAAUAAAAAUCAAAGAGGAAUAUAGAAACACAAAUUAGCCAACAUUUUUCAAAAGACAAGAAAAGAAAAUCAUCGUAACAAAUGAGCGUGAGAACUUCUAAAGAUUUGUCAGAAACCCUUUCAGAGGGUUGGAUUCUUUUUCAGAAGCCGGUGACCCAUUUGGUCUGAAGAGAGAAAUAGCCUAUCCACUGAGUUACUUAUUUAAAGCCAGUGCACACACUCAUUCGAGAAAGCUCUGGGUGCCCUCGCAUUUGAGAACAACACCGGGUUAAGGACGCUGCGAUACCUAGUCGGACAAAACAGCAAUAAAAUAAGACCAGUGGACGCGCUGAGCGCAGAGCGCGGGGCGAGGGCCCAGGUUU
rnacentral:lncRNA from 1 species